ensembl:lncRNA
CCCAUUUCUGGCACCGACUUCAGAUACCAACAUGGGACGUGAAAAUAGUCCAUUUGCCAUCAACAGUUUGUGGAGAUUCUGUCAGGAGUGGAAAAAAGUCUUGAGUAGGAGAAUGGGUGACCAGUUGAUAUUCUUUUCCUUCCUUUCAGUACUGGGGAUUGAAGUGGCUUUCCCACUGAGCCGUAUCCCCAGCCCAUUCUCUUAUUUUUGGGGACAGGUCUUGCUAAGUCACUGCAUUGCCCAGGUUGGGCUCAAACUUGUUAUCUUCCUGCUUCACCCUUUCAAGGUGCUAGGAUUCCAGGUACCACCCCCUGGUUAAAUGGAUGGAUUUAAUAGCAUAAGUUUUAAGUUAGCAAGAUGUCUUUGGUUCAGAUUGUAAUCUCUUCUCCCAGCCUUUCACUGCUUCGGAAGGGCAGAGCUCUAGGGGUGGGUGAUAGCAUCAGAAUCAUCCAGACCCCCUAGGGUACUUUGAGUAUGAAGAGGGGUCCUAGUACCUGUCCAGUCCCCAGGUUCCCAGGUAGGAUCCAUAGGUGUCAGCAAUGCCAUGCUGUCCCUGAGAAUGCAUGCAAAACUUAACAUUUCUGUGCAUUUGGCUAGAGAAGGUCCUUAGAGCCUUUGCGUAGAAGCUGAAAGAAAUUUAUACUUUUGGAGAUAAAGAACCACUGCCAAGGACCUCCUCCACACUUCAGCAGCUCCUCCAUACCAGUGAGUGCUCAGUGAGCUCAGGGAUCUCAUUUAGAAGCAGGUUAGCCCAGCCUCAGGGUGAGGAGUACCAGACUGAAGAGCCUUGGGUGCUGAUGGCCUUCUCUUCCUCACCCUAAGCUGGGAAGUUGGCUUUCUGCUCUGGUGGGAGAACUGUUUCACCUCGGUUCUCCACUUAAUCCACUGGUUUCCAACACAUUGCCUGGCAUCCUCUGUCCUAACUCCAUUCAUACGCACUCCACCUCUGAGGCCCCCAUGCCUGUUCCUCUGCCCUUGAGGUGUUCCUGAGGGCCCUUACAUGUCACUUCCUGCCCAAACCUCCAAAGGAACAUGUUUUUAUACUUUAUAUCUCACCUCUCCUAAAAAUAAGAUGCCUUGAGAAGACUAAUAAUAGUUUCUAGUGUCCACUGUGUGACAGAUGUAAUCUUGUGCCUCUGAAACAGAAUACCACAGUCUGGAUAAUUGGAAGAACAGACAUUGAUUUCUCAGGGUGCUGGAGGCUGGGAGGUGCAGAUGGAAGACCACUUGCAGGCUUGGUGUCUGAUGGGGGCUCAGUGUUCAGUCCUAGAACUCUCUGUCCUCGCUAGGAGAGGCAGGUCCUUCAUCAAGGCAGAAGAGUCAGAGCCACAGCACAAAAGGGGACCACAGGAGCCCUUUUGUAAGGGAACCCUCUUAAAGGUGGACAACUUGAUGGCCUAAUCACCUCUUAAAGGUCCCACCUCUUAACAUUGACAAUUAAGUUUCCACCUGAGUGUGGGAGCGGGAAGAGCAUUCAAACUAUAGCCCCAGACCUGGAGCUAAGUGCCUUGGAUAUGUUCUCAUCGGACCUUAACGAUUCUACAUGGUGGCAUUAUUUUCUGCUCCCAUACAGUGUUUCUGGUGAGAAAAGGGAAGCACAGAGCUGGGAGGCUGUCCAGCUGGACUUGUGGCCUUUAUCACGGUGUGUCCUGCAUUCUCGUCUCUCCCAGUGUUUCUUAGCUGUUCGUGUGGCCAGGCACUAUGCACGUCAUCUGUGCCCCCGUUGGAGCCGUUGACCUCUAAGCCUGAGCUCUUCGCACUGGGCAUCCCCAGCUGUCACCCUGCUGUAAGAAAAUCGCCUGUGACCCUCCUGGUCGUAGGGGAACAGCCCCACUCUGUCUUUUCUCUUCUGAGAGCAAGUGUUGCCCUAUCUACUGCAGUGGUGGGUCCCUAGAAUCUGUGGGUCCACACACUGAUCUCAGCAGGGAAUAGAAUGAGAUGUGGGCAGGAUUUUAGGUCAAGGUCACUGAUUUAUCACCCUUUUAUGUUUCCCCCUUUUAUGUUUUUAGUGAUCCAAUGGGCAACAGAAAUGCUGAGGUUCACACAGAAAAUAAGCCAAGGGAGCACUGACAAUUACAGGUGGAAAAAGCCAUUUUUGCAAGGAGCCACAAGAGGACCUUCUGUGAACAGCACAAAUGAACAAAUCUGGCUUUGUAUGACAGCAAGUUGACAAAACAGCAGCAAAGCUGAGUUCAUGUAAGUUGAUAGGCCAACAAUAUUUGGAUGAGAAAUAAAGACAAUAAUUUAUAGAUUAUUAUAUAUUCCAUAAAAUUUAUCUCUUGCUUUCAUUUCUGUAAAAUCGCCAAGCAUGUUGUUAUAGUAAAAGAUUUUGCAUCAUUCAUAUUCUAUUGGUAGUAACAAUCUAAAG